UACGUAGGGGGCUAGCGUUGUUCGGAAUUACUGGGCGUAAAGCGCACGUAGGCGGAUCUUUAAGUCAGGGGUGAAAUCCCGAGGCUCAACCUCGGAACUGCCUUUGAUACUGGGGAUCUCGAGUCCGGGAGAGGUGAGUGGAACUGCGGGUGUAGAGGUGAAAUGCGUAGAUAUUCGCAAGAACACCAGUGGCGAAGGCGGCUCACUGGCCCGGAACUGACGCUGAGGUGCGAAAGCGUGGGGAGCAAACAGG
rnacentral:rRNA from 1 species